UACGAAGGGGGCUAGCGUUGUUCGGAAUCACUGGGCGUAAAGGGCGCGUAGGCGGCUUUAUAAGUCGGGGGUGAAAGCCUGUGGCUCAACCACAGAAUUGCCUUCGAUACUGUAGAGCUUGAGACCGGAAGAGGUAAGUGGAACUGCGAGUGUAGAGGUGAAAUUCGUAGAUAUCGCAAGAACACCAGUGGCGAAGGCGGCUUACUGGUCCGGUUCUGACGCUGAGGCGCGAAGCGUGG
rnacentral:rRNA from 1 species